GCGUUGUCCGGAAUGACUGGGCGUAAAGGGCGCGUAGACGGCUGUCUAAGUCUGGAGUGAAAGUCCUGCUUUCAAGGUGGGAAUUGCUUUGGAGACUGGAUGGCUUGAGUGCGGAAGAGGUAAGUGGAAUUCCCAGUGUAGCGGUGAAAUGCGUAGAGGUUGGGAAGAACACCAGUGGCGAAGGCGACUUACUGGGCCGUAACUGACGUUGAUGCGCGAAAGCGUGGGGAGC
rnacentral:rRNA from 1 species